rnacentral:rRNA from 1 species
GACGAACGCUGGCGGCGUGCUUAACACAUGCAAGUCGAACGGAAAGGCCCUGCUUUUGUGGGGUGCUCGAGUGGCGAACGGGUGAGUAACACGUGAGUAACCUGCCCUUGACUUUGGGAUAACUUCAGGAAACUGGGGCUAAUACCGGAUAGGAGCUCCUGCUGCAUGGUGGGGGUUGGAAAGUUUCGGCGGUUGGGGAUGGACUCGCGGCUUAGCAGCUUGUUGGUGGGGUAGUGGCUUACCAAGGCUUUGACGGGUAGCCGGCCUGAGAGGGUGACCGGCCACAGUGGGACUGAGAUACGGCCCAGACUCCUACGGGAGGCAGCAGUGGGGAAGAGUGCACAAUGGGCGGAAGCCUGAUGCAGCAACGCCGCGUGCGGGAUAACGGCCUUCGGGUUGUAAACCGCUUUCGCCUGUGACGAAGCGUGAGUGACGGUAAUGGGUAAAGAAGCACCGGCUAACUACGUG